rnacentral:rRNA from 1 species
UACGUAGGGGGCAAGCGUUGUCCGGAAUUAUUGGGCGUAAAGGGCACGCAGGCGGUGGUUUAAGUUUGGUGUUUAAGCCCAGGGCUCAACCCUGGUACGCACUGAAAACUGGAUCACUUGAGUGCAGAAGAGGAGAGUGGAAUUCCACGUGUAGCGGUGAAAUGCGUAGAUAUGUGGAGGAACACCAGUGGCGAAGGCGACCCUCUGGUCUGUAACUGACGCUGAGGUGCGAAAGCGUGGGUAGCAAACAGG